UGAAAGUCUCUAGUAGUCUCUAGUACAGCACCUUUGAGUGCAGUACAAAGUCCCAGGAUGCUUUUCAGAGUCACUAUCUGAGAAAAAUGGGCGCCGUAAGAAAAGAGGAGCUAUUGAGCAGAAGCCAGGUUGAGGAGCUGCUUUCUCAGGAGAGCCAUAAGGGAGGCCACAGGGACGCUGAGGCAGAGCCCUGAGGGAAUCAAAGGGCCUGAAUGGAGUCUUGCUGUUUGGAGUUGCUUGAAGAAUUGGGUCUGACUACUUUGUGCUUUUGCAGCUUUUGAGAAUUCCUUGUACUCAAAUGAAGUGAAGGAGUGGGCGGGAGGAACAUUGUCCAGUGCUUGUAAAUUUCCCUCAUAAUUGCAAAAAUAACACGAUGAUCCUGUCGGUAUAUUUGUUAGCCCAAAAGCAUAAAUUAUGCUUGUAAUUCUCAACAGUGGUGUAAACUGCAAUUAAAUUUUGCAAGUAUAUUUAUUAUCUAAAGUGUGGAAUGGAUCUAACUCCUCAUGUCUUCUGAUACUGUUGGUACCUGUUGCACAAGUGAAACACAGUCAGAUUGUUGUUUCAAUACAGUCACUUAUUCUAUGUGCAGUCUUUUUAUUUCCCCAUUCACUCUCCUAUCAAAACCUUCCAGAAUACAAGAAGGAAAACUUGGGCCAACUUGCUGCACACCUUCUGCUGGUUUUAUCCUGUCACCAGCUGCGACGAGCUGUCCAUAGGAAUCCAGAUUUAUUUGGACACCUCAUUCUCUUCCCCUUUCUAAAUAAAGCACUUUAGUUCUGAGUGCUUGAUACUUCGACUAAGAUUAGAACAGCCCAUGUUUUAGACUGAUUGCCGAUACAAUGCCCACCACUUAUUCCAGGGCAGCCCUAAACCCUGUGCAACAGAAAUCUAACAUUAUAAGCAUAGCUCAAUAAUUAGUGCUGUCAUCUGAGUCAGAAUGUUAGGAGUUCAGUCGACAUCCCAAAGAUUUGAGCAGAGCAUCUCUCAAACCCACGACUUCUACCAUCCAGAGGGCCAAGGGCAAGUUCCUCUCUAAGCCACUCACCAUCCUGACUUGGAACAAUAUCACUUUCCCUUCACUAUCACUUGGCCAAAAUCCUGAAUACAUUUCCUAACAGCAUUGUAGGUGUAACUACACCACAUGGACUGCAUGAUUCAAAACUGUUCACAACCAUGUUCUCGAGCACAAUUAGAUGAGUGCAAAAAUUCUGGAUUUGUCAAUGAAACUCUCAACCUGUAAAAGAAUUUGAAAAAACAUCCGGUUUCAGUGCAGAACUGAUUAUUGAUAGUGCAGUCUCUCGGAUCAUGCAAUACUGAGGUCCUGUCUACCAUCUCCGAUUUAUCCCAUAACUAACAGUAUGAAAACAGCCUAUGUGGACACCUAUCUCAUUGCUAUUUGUGGACUUGCUAAGGGCUGAUUGUUUGCCUGUUUCCUGCCAUUACAACAAUGACUACCCAUCUAAACAUAAUUUCCUGUGGGUGUGAAAGGUUCCACAGAAAUGAAAGUUCUUUCCUAUAGUGAGUAACUGGAUGUUUUGGUAUAUUGUCAAAUGCUGCAAUAUUUCCUCUUGAUGGCCUGGUAAACCUGGUGGAGCUGGGGAAAUGGUGAGGCGCAUGUGCUGAAUUCAUGGCGUUUCUUAGCAAACUCUGCCCAACUGGCAUUCCUGGCAUAAGUUCGCACAGCGUGGAGGCAAUGUUGCUGGUUUAUCACUCUACACACUGGGGAGAUUCCCAACUGGGCAGGGCUGAACAUUGCAGAGACAUUUCAUUUUUAGGUGCCACGUGUCAGGCAGUUGGCAGAGGGCCAAUACACUGAUUUCAGAAUUGGGUGGAGAUUUGCACUUGUCUCUCAUUGAACCCAGGGAUGCUGCGCAGUAACGGAUGGUAAAUCCUCAGGAAUUACACGGGAAAAAACAACUUGUUUUAUUGCAAAAAAAAACAAUCCUCCUGUUAGUCAUCUUCCUCCGCUAUCAGCACCUGUCAUCUGCUGCUUAUGGCUGUAAAAGCAGCUGCUUUUUGUGUGAGAUCAGCGACUGAACAUUCGUUGCUGAAUGUUAAAAUAAUCAUCCUGUGAAUCCGGUUGUAAAAUAAAUUGAUGCAGAACAUGAACUGUUAACUUUGGCAGAAUUUGAGAUGUAAUUAAUUCUAAAUUAAAUCCGGUCACAGAAUGAGCAUGUCACGCAUGUUUGGGGAUAUUUUGCUCAGAUGAAAUUACGUGUUAAAUUUUGCAAACGUUAUUUGACAGUAUCCUGGAGGAGAGAAUUGGAUGCGCUGAUGCAGAAUCCACCCUUACAGUCCCCCUCCUGAUAAUUUAAAGUUGUUCUGCUAACAGAAACUUGAAUUAAAUUUCUCCAAAAGUUCAUUUGAGCUGCUAAAAUAAAAGCAGUAUAUUAACUUGAAAACUUUUUUAGUUAUCAGAUAAUACUAAUUAAACAGCUACAAAUUAGGGAUAGAAUGUAUUGCUUCGUAGGUUUUAAAUAAAUUCAACAUAGUACGAUGAAAUGCUGACUCUCCUCCCCUUCUCUUGCUUUACCAGUAUCCUCAUUGCCUGAGGGUUGCUAAUUAUGGCAUUUGCCAUGAUUUCACUCUGGGGCAAGGAAAGAGAGCAGCUCCCAGAACUAGCCCACCUAGUACAGGAUAUGAAUGUAGUUUCCUGGUGUUACUCUGUACCAUACUUUAGUCAACAGAAUUAACGAGCCCGUGAGCCCUUCCCCAACACCGAAUUCAUAAUACCAGGAGGGAGAAGAUGCAAGUUUAAAAAUAGAAUUUGUCAUAAAGUUUUUUACUUCCCUUCUUCCUGAAAACUCCCUAUCUCUCACUGUUUCUCCCCAGUUUGAUGCUUGAAUUACAGUUUUCCUGUUGCUUACACAGUACCUGGGACAUUCCUCAGAGUCAGGAAGUUUUGGGUUCAAGUCACAGUCCAGAGGAAAUUUUCAGCUGACUGUUCAGGAUUGAUGAAGGUCCUGCAUUCAGAUGAGUUGUUAAACCAAGGCCUUGCUUGCCCCCUCAAGUGGAUAUCAAAGAUCAUAUGUGUCACCAUCUGAAGAUAAAGGGUAUUUUGUCCAGUGUUUAUCCUUCAAUCAAUGUCAUACAACAGAUUAAUUGGUCGUUAGCACAUUCUGUUUGCAGGACCUUGCUGUGCACAAAUUGCAUGCUGCCUUUACUCCAUUACGAUAAUUACACUUCAUUUGGCUGUCAUUGGGAUGUCCAGAGGUCAUAAAAAGCACAUUGUCAAGUGAAUGCAAGCAUUUCUCUCCUAUAUAGAGCCAUCGGAUGAAUACACAGUCCUGUCUUAUUCCAGCACUAAGUGCAAUUCAUUGCAGCAGUACUUGAACUUUGCUGUCCUCCCCUCUCCCUCAGCACUGUAAGCUGCUGUCAAGCCCAUCUAACCUUGAGUAAGAUGCAAACACCUGGCAACUGGUCUGAAAAUCAUUUGGAUUAACUGAUUAUCUGAGAGAUCUCCUUGUAAUAUGAGUGCUUAUAAUAAUACAUUCUUAGGUUUCUCUGUUGGCAGAAACUAAUACCCACUUUGUCCAAAAUCUCCAGUUAGACUUUUGAUGCUGUACAGUGAGUUCGUAAAUAAUAAUCUCCCAAUCACAAAUAUAGUAAAUAGCUUCUGAACACUGUAAAAGAUCUUGGCUGUUGACAAGUUCUUGGAGCAUAAGAGGACCUAACUGUACAUGGUCGGUAUUUCUCUGCUCCCAUAUUUAAUUCAUUAGUCACCUACUAACCAGGUAACAGAUGUUCUGUGUGGACUGUUCUCUCCAGUGAUCAGGAAUGGGGAUAUUUUGUCAUCCAGGAGAUGACAUUAAAAUGGAGUGCAGCCACCGUCCUAUCCAUAGUGCUGCUAGAGCAUAACUUCAACCUGUUCCUUUUGACAUGCUGUUGCUAGGCAACUGCUUCAAAGCAGUUCAGCUGAAUGCACUUCUGUCACAGAAACAAAACCCAAGUAUUUUACUGCUGCCUGUUGGGGAGGGGAUGGGAGUGUGUCCUUCACCCUUCCAGGAUUUUCAUUGGAGGGGGGAAGAGAGUUUUUUAAAAAUCUUGAAAUACAUGCACAAUUCUAUGAUUUUUCCAUCUUAUUAAUCCGCAAACCCCAAAGUCCAUAUCCAGACUCACACCUAGCCUGGUUCACCCAUCAGUCGCUGUACUCGCUUGAUGUGGAUUGGCUCCUGUUUUGGUAAUGCUUCAAAUUUAAAAUUGCUCAUCCUUGUGAUUGAAUGACCUUGUCCAUUCCUUACCCCUGUAAUCUCCUCUGACUCCAGAACCCCAAUCCAAUCUGUUUGCACUUUCCAGAUUGUGGAUUGAUAUUAAAUUUUGUUCCAUAAUUACUUAUGGAAAAUAUGUUGAGAUGUUAUAUUAAAGGUGCUUCUUUAAAU